ACCGACUGACGGUAGGGACGGGAGGCGAGCAAGAUGGCGCAGACGCAGGGCACUCGGAGGAAAGUCUGUUACUACUACGACGGGGAUGUUGGAAAUUACUAUUAUGGACAAGGCCACCCAAUGAAGCCUCACCGAAUCCGCAUGACUCAUAAUUUGCUGCUCAACUAUGGUCUCUACCGAAAAAUGGAAAUCUAUCGCCCUCACAAAGCCAAUGCUGAGGAGAUGACCAAGUACCACAGCGAUGACUACAUUAAAUUCUUGCGCUCCAUCCGUCCAGAUAACAUGUCGGAGUACAGCAAGCAGAUGCAGAGAUUCAACGUUGGUGAGGACUGUCCAGUAUUCGAUGGCCUGUUUGAGUUCUGUCAGUUGUCUACUGGUGGUUCUGUGGCAAGUGCUGUGAAACUUAAUAAGCAGCAGACGGACAUCGCUGUGAAUUGGGCUGGGGGCCUGCACCAUGCAAAGAAGUCCGAGGCAUCUGGCUUCUGUUACGUCAAUGAUAUCGUCUUGGCCAUCCUGGAACUGCUAAAGUAUGCCUGCCUGGCCUUGUCUCUUGGAAGAGCACGUUAGGCCAGGUUCCCAUUUCCCUCUCCCCCUGGGCUUGCCUCCCUAGUUUGCUUUUCCUACCGAUGUGCUGGCUAGGAUGUGCUCGGUGAGUGUCUCUGGCCAUCAUCUCCUUGAUGGGGUCUUGGUUUGAUCUGAGCCACGGCAUGAUCAGGGGCAGAUGCUGCUCAGAUCCUGCCUCCAGAGUGUCCCUGUGUGGCUGGAGUUGACCCUGGCUGUAGAGUAGGAAGAUCGGACUUGGUCGGCUUGGUCAGGCCUCUGGAGACACCCGGCCGCUCUUCCACCUUCCUUCAGCCAGUUUCCACGUCUCUGGUGCUUAGAGAUACCUGAGGGA
rnacentral:sRNA from 1 species